rnacentral:rRNA from 1 species
UACGUAGGGUGCAAGCGUUGUCCGGAAUUAUUGGGCGUAAAGAGCUCGUAGGCGGUCUGUCACGUCUGCUGUGAAAACUCGGGGCUUAACCCCGGGCCUGCAGUGGGUACGGGCAGACUAGAGUGCGGUAGGGGAGACUGGAAUUCCUGGUGUAGCGGUGAAAUGCGCAGAUAUCAGGAGGGACACCGGUGGCGAAGGCGGGUCUCUGGGCCGUAACUGACGCUGAGGAGCGAAAGCGUGGGGAGCGAACAGG